rnacentral:tRNA from 1 species
GGGCGAAUAACUCAGCUGGCUAGAGUGCCUGCCUUACACGCAGGAUGUCGGGGGUUCAAGUCCCUCUUCGCCCACCA